rnacentral:precursor_RNA from 1 species
CAUGGAUGAUUUGGAGUAGCAAAGCAGCAAUUGUUCUUUGGUCUUUCAGCCAUGACCUGACCUUCUGUCUGUGAGACCAAAGAACUACUUUGCUUGGCCACCAUCUGCACUCAAGAGAG